rnacentral:misc_RNA from 1 species
CUAUUAACUCUGAACAAAGGAGCUUCCGAAUAAACUACAUGGAGUUCAGAAGCGCUCGACAAUUCAAAACCAUCACUAACUCUUCACACACUACUGACUUCUAUCGCCAAUAACAAUAUAACGAAAAUGAAGAAGAUGAAAAAGAUAAGAUACCAAGAAUAGAAUCAAGUAUGACAGCACAAAAUGUAGCCUGAUCUCACCAAGCUCAACAUGACCGAAGCAAAAUAGGACCCACUGAUGAGCUAAGCAUAUCACUUAGAGCUACUUGGACCUCAUUCGACCCAUGUUCACAACUUAUCAAGCCUGAAAGAAGGGGGAAGAAAUGACUUAAGUUCUUUUCAAAUGAAGCAUCUCCCAAACUACAAAUAGCCUGAAGAGUUACAACUAUAAGAGGUGCCCGUGAAGCCAAUUCCCGCCGUUUCCCAGAGCCUACAGGAAUC